rnacentral:misc_RNA from 1 species
AAGUAACAAGGUUUCCGUAGGUGAACCUGCGGAAGGAUCAUUAACACGUAUCCAAACGUUAAAACCCGUAGAAGCGCUAUCCUUGCACAAUCAAUGACACUUUCCGACACUGACUGCUUGGGGAAACAUUGCCUACAGAACUACCGCUCGAUUGUAACUGUUCCAAUGUUCGCACGUAGCCAGAGGUCUCUGAAUCACUACAACUUUCCGGGCUAUGAACUACGCGGGUUACAAGAGCAGGAUGAAGGUUCACGGGGGGAUUCCUGUAGACCGUACACUCGGGAGGAGCUUUGCCAAAGGGUCCCCAUGCCCCCUAAUAACCCCACAGUUUAAUGUGAAGCUCAAUGUAAUACAUUGGGUAAAAAAACCGAACAACUGUUAACAAUGGAUAUCUUGGUUCUC